UACGGGGGGGGCAAGCGUUGUUCGGAAUUACUGGGCGUAAAGGGCUCGUAGGCGGCCAACUAAGUCAGACGUGAAAUCCCUCGGCUUAACCGGGGAACUGCGUCUGAUACUGGAUGGCUUGAGUUUGGGAGAGGGAUGCGGAAUUCCAGGUGUAGCGGUGAAAUGCGUAGAUAUCAGGAGGAACACCAGCGGUGUAGACGGCUUUCUGGACCAUUGCUGACGCUGAGACACGAAAGCGUGGGUAGCAAACAGG
rnacentral:rRNA from 1 species